rnacentral:rRNA from 1 species
AUUGAACGCUGGCGGCAGGCCUAACACAUGCAAGUCGAACGAGUGGCGGACGGGUGAGUAAUGUCUGGGAAACUGCCUGAUGGAGGGGGAUAACUACUGGAAACGGUAGCUAAUACCGCAUACCAUCGGAUGUGCCCAGAUGGGAUUAGCUAGUAGGUGGGGUAAAGGCUAACCUAGGCGACGAGCCCUAGCUGUUCUGAGAGGAUGACCAGCCACACUGGAACUGAGACACGGUCCAGACUCCUACGGUAGGUAGCAGUGGGGAAUAGUUAACGAUGGGCGCAAGCCUGAUGCAGCCAUGCCGCGUGUAGGAAGAAGGCCUUCGGGUUUUAAAGUACUUUCAGCGGGUAGGCGUUACCCGCAGAAGAAGCACCGGCUAACUCCGUGCCAGCAGCCGCGGGAAUUC